rnacentral:lncRNA from 1 species
CUUUGGAGUACAGUGGGAUCAUGGAACUAAAAGGGUUGAGAGGUUGUUUCAGGAAAUAAGGACAGUUUGGGGGGAGGAGAGUGACACACUGACGAUGUGGAGAUCAGCUCUGCACAUCUAGUGAUUAUAGAUCAGCGGGAUGAGCCCAGGUGUCUGGUGAGGAGCCAGGAAGCCUGGGAAGUCCACAUUUCUCCCCCUUGUCCAUGCUCUGCAGUCCCACAUCAGCAUUUCAGAUCUUUGUAAAACAUCACUCAUCAGCUUUUAAAGCAACACCUUGGGAGAGUUAAGCAGAAGCCUUUUCAGCAUUCCUAGUCUCCCUGUGGAAUCCACUGCAGACAAGAUUUCUUCUUACUUAUGUGCAGCGUUGAAAAGGCAAGUCCCAGGGGUACAUAACUUGCAGUCGCCAGGACUUGUGCUG